rnacentral:rRNA from 1 species
GACGAACGCUGGCGGCGUGCUUAACACAUGCAAGUCGAACGGAAAGGCCCUGCUUUUGUGGGGUGCUCGAGUGGCGAACGGGUGAGUAACGCGUGAGUAACCUGCCCUUGACUUUGGGAUAACUUCAGGAAACUGGGGCUAAUACCGGAUAGGAGCUCCUGCUGCAUGGUGGGGGUUGGAAAGUUUCGGCGGUUGGGGAUGGACUCGCGGCUUAUCAGCUUGUUGGUGGGGUAGUGGCCUACCAAGGCUUUGACGGGUAGCCGGCCUGAGAGGGUGACCGGCCACAUUGGGACUGAGAUACGGCCCAGACUCCUACGGGAGGCAGCAGUGGGGAAUAUUGCACAAUGGGCGGAAGCCUGAUGCAGCAACGCCGCGUGCGGGAUGACGGCCUUCGGGUUGUAAACCGCUUUCGCCUGUGACGAAGCGUGAGUGACGGUAAUGGGUAAAGAAGCACCGGCUAACUACGUG